UACGAGGGGUGCAAGCGUUGUUCGGAAUUAUUGGGCGUAAAGGGCGCGUAGGCGGCAAUUCAAGUCAGUUGUGAAAUCUCCGAGCUUAACUCGGAACGGUCAACUGAUACUGUUUUGCUAGAGUGCAGAAAGGGCAACCGGAAUUCUUGGUGUAGCGGUGAAAUGCGUAGAUAUCAAGAGGAACACCUGAGGCGAAGGCGGGUUGCUAGGCUGACACUGACGCUGAGGCGCGAAAGCUAGGGUAGCAAACGGG
rnacentral:rRNA from 1 species